GUAAUGUUGCCAUCUCUAAUAUGGAAAUUGAGCAUUUAGGGGCCAAGAUAUACCUUGGAAUUUUGGAUAUUAAUACAAAUUUGGCCAGGAAACAGCCAAGAUAUGACGUACCUCUGGACUCACGGAGAGUCAUCCUUCAGCACUCAGGAAAGGAAAAACCUCCUGUGGAGGAAACCUCUGGGAAACCAUGGCUUGAAGGACUGCCUUUCCCUCUAGGCAUUAGGAGGCAAAUACAGAGAAUUUAAUGGAAGCGGGGCUUAAUCUUUUAUAAACUGUUUAACUUGGCAGGGAGAAUGAGAGACAUAUAGGCAGAUUGACAGACACAGAUAAACAGAUAGACAGACAGAUAGAUAGAUAGACGAUG